UACGUAGGGUGCAAGCGUUACUCGGAAUUACUGGGUUUAAAGGGUGCGUAGGUGGGUAGGUAAGUCAGUGGUGAAAUCUUCGAGCUUAACUCGGAAACUGCCAUUGAUACUAUUUAUCUUGAAUACUCUGGAGGUAAGCGGAAUAUGUCAUGUAGCGGUGAAAUGCUUAGAUAUGACAUAGAACACCAAUUGCGAAGGCAGCUUACUACAUAGUUAUUGACACUGAGGCACGAAAGCGUGGGGAUCAAACAGG
rnacentral:rRNA from 1 species